ACUCAGGCACGAUCUUUGCCGUGGGUUUCCUUAUGUGGGGACCCCGUGAGGAUGCGAAGAACCGACCUGAAGUUUCAAUCCUGAGGGA
rfam:Corynebacterium vitaeruminis DSM 20294, complete genome.